AGAGUUUGAUCAUGGCUCAGAUUGAACGCUGGCGGCAGGCCUAACACAUGCAAGUCGAGCGGUAGCACAGAGAGCUUGCUCUCGGGUGACGAGCGGCGGACGGGUGAGUAAUGUCUGGGAAACUGCCUGAUGGAGGGGGAUAACUACUGGAAACGGUAGCUAAUACCGCAUAACGUCGCAAGACCAAAGUGGGGGACCUUCGGGCCUCAUGCCAUCAGAUGUGCCCAGAUGGGAUUAGCUAGUAGGUGGGGUAACGGCUCACCUAGGCGACGAUCCCUAGCUGGUCUGAGAGGAUGACCAGCCACACUGGAACUGAGACACGGUCCAGACUCCUACGGGAGGCAGCAGUGGGGAAUAUUGCACAAUGGGCGCAAGCCUGAUGCAGCCAUGCCGCGUGUGUGAAGAAGGCCUUCGGGUUGUAAAGCACUUUCAGCGGGGAGGAAGGCGGUGAGGUUAAUAACCUCAUCGAUUGACGUUACCCGCAGAAGAAGCACCGGCUAACUCCGUGCCAGCAGCCGCGGUAAUACGGAGGGUGCAAGCGUUAAUCGGAAUUACUGGGCGUAAAGCGCACGCAGGCGGUCUGUCAAGUCGGAUGUGAAAUCCCCGGGCUCAACCUGGGAACUGCAUUCGAAACUGGCAGGCUAGAGUCUUGUAGAGGGGGGUAGAAUUCCAGGUGUAGCGGUGAAAUGCGUAGAGAUCUGGAGGAAUACCGGUGGCGAAGGCGGCCCCCUGGACAAAGACUGACGCUCAGGUGCGAAAGCGUGGGGAGCAAACAGGAUUAGAUACCCUGGUAGUCCACGCUGUAAACGAUGUCGAUUUGGAGGUUGUGCCCUUGAGGCGUGGCUUCCGGAGCUAACGCGUUAAAUCGACCGCCUGGGGAGUACGGCCGCAAGGUUAAAACUCAAAUGAAUUGACGGGGGCCCGCACAAGCGGUGGAGCAUGUGGUUUAAUUCGAUGCAACGCGAAGAACCUUACCUGGUCUUGACAUCCACAGAACUUUCCAGAGAUGGAUUGGUGCCUUCGGGAACUGUGAGACAGGUGCUGCAUGGCUGUCGUCAGCUCGUGUUGUGAAAUGUUGGGUUAAGUCCCGCAACGAGCGCAACCCUUAUCCUUUGUUGCCAGCGGUUAGGCCGGGAACUCAAAGGAGACUGCCAGUGAUAAACUGGAGGAAGGUGGGGAUGACGUCAAGUCAUCAUGGCCCUUACGACCAGGGCUACACACGUGCUACAAUGGCAUAUACAAAGAGAAGCGACCUCGCGAGAGCAAGCGGACCUCAUAAAGUAUGUCGUAGUCCGGAUUGGAGUCUGCAACUCGACUCCAUGAAGUCGGAAUCGCUAGUAAUCGUAGAUCAGAAUGCUACGGUGAAUACGUUCCCGGGCCUUGUACACACCGCCCGUCACACCAUGGGAGUGGGUUGCAAAAGAAGUAGGUAGCUUAACCUUCGGGAGGGCGCUUACCACUUUGUGAUUCAUGACUGGGGUGAAGUCGUAACAAGGUAACCGUAGGGGAACCUGCGGUUG
rnacentral:rRNA from 2 species